GCAUGGUCCCAGAUGAGGUUUUGGAGGAGCCAAAGUGUCAUUAGAAGUUUCCUGCAACAAAAUCCUUGAACACACCAGGAAUGGAUUACACCUUAUGGCCAGCGGCAGUUAUGGAUUUUUGUGUUUACCUCCUUCAAAUACUUCACUGAUCCCAACCACACAUGCCUGCGGCAGAGAGAAGCAUCUUAUGUCGGAGGGAAAGCAAUGGACGGUGGUGCCCGCUAGACUGUGUAAGACACUGGGAGGCACUGUCAGCAUGGAGGAACAUAGUCAGGAAACCUGUGUUAACACAUGAGCUUCCAUGGGUAAAAGAAUUUUCAGUGAGGGCAACUGCACCCGCAUAGAUGCUCUCUCCCCACUGCUGGUGCAUUAGGGUCAGUGAGUGACACAGACUGGACCAGCCCACACCCAGGACCACUGCAGCAAUCAUGGCAGUUGAUGUGGAUGAGACCUGCUGUAGACAUCCUUCUGUUCAAACUGAACAAAAGACAACAUAUACAUGUUUUGCCCAUUCCUACACUGAACCCAGCGUUCACAAGGAAACUUUCUUUCCUAGGAGUGGAAGAGUAGUAUACUGGAUUCCUCAAUAUCUAACAGAAAACCCCAUGCUCUUGGCAUCAGGAACAAAAAAUAAGUCAUGUUGAUAUCUUUGGUGUUCUCCAAGUCAGAGUACAGGCAAGCAUCCAGUAUCCUGCUCUGCCUCGCAACCUCUAACACUUGCUGUGUUCACUAGAGAUCUAGCCCCACCCCUCAAACACAGAUCACCUGCCAAAGUACAGAGAACACUCUGCGUUCUUCAACCUCCAUUCACAGCUGGAGCCCUCGUCUUAGAAAUGGACAUGGUUCUGCAUGGCAAUUCCAGAUGGUCUGUCUGCUAGAAGAAAUUGAGCAACAGUGUGAUAGUCAAACAGCUAAACCGGGGCAAUGCAUUCACCACGGUUUGAGGAGAGCUGCUGCUCAAACAUCAUCCAGUGAGCACGACAGGGCAAAUCCAGGGGAACUUUCCUACCCAAUUACCAUUUCAGCACGUUACACUGAGGCCAGCUGCAUGAGGCAGUCCUUUGCCACUGCAGACUGCAGGGGAGUUGAAUUGUGCUGGCCAGGUGACCCUAAGGCCACUUUUCUGCCUGUACUAAGUCACCAUCUGCAGGUGGAGACGUGGUGGCCCACCCCAGCCUCUGACUACCAGCUUUGCAACAAUGCAUGAGUCUCAGCAACUCUUCAGUCAUUGAGAGAGGCCUCCCUUCAAAUUUACCUGGUGGAGAAGGCUGUUUUUUGAUGAGCAGAAUAAGAGGAUCCUCUACCUGUUGUGUAACCCCAGAAAAGACAUUCAUGUGGGGUGCACUUUACUCAAACACUUGCUGAAGACCAUGCCUGACAUCAGCCUUCCAGGAUACAGGCCAACACCAGGGACUCCAGAUGCGUGUGUGUUUGCUGGCUCAUCUGCAUGGUGCAGGUGGCCCUGUUACCCUCCACCAGCUGCCUGCCAGAACUAGCACAGCCCUGCUGGGAGGAUCACACGAACGUCUUCAUCUCUUCAGCCAGCAUCACUGGCACCGCUGCUACGAUCUGGAAAGCUACUGCCAACUACAGCUGAAUCACUACCUCUGUCGGCCAAGCUUCUGUGGCCAGAGGAGGAUGCUGGAGUGCAGACUUGUACUCCCUUUUCAAACUAGAUGAGGCCAUUCCCCCGCAAGGCUGUCAGAGCUAAUUCUCAGCAGCCCAGUGAGUACAUCUUACUUCAGAUGAAUGAUUGGCAUCCCAGAAGAAGGAAUGCACAGGACUUGUUCUUGUUGUCCUAUUUUUUUUUGUAUUCCUCUGUGUUUCUGCCCUCCCUUUCUUAAUUGCAAUUAAAUCCUUCAUUUUUUCCCCAUCAGACCUGUCUUUCUGUUGUUUUCUUUUGGACAGACUUCUCUGCAGCUGCAAAUACCCCCACUUGGUCAAAGUAAUGUGCAGCUGCUGAAUCUCAUACCUGACAAGCCUAAUGAACAAGGUUGAUGAUUCUCAUGCUGUCAUUAACUGUGUGUUGAACCGUGCACAGAGCCUACAACCCAGUGCUCUUCUCUCCUACAGUUACCAGGAGUGACUGGCACCAUCCAGUAGCCCUGUGCUCUAGGGACCCACUCAAGAUCUCAC
ensembl:lncRNA